AGUGAACGCUGGCGGUAGGCCUAACACAUGCAAGUCGAACGGCAGCACAGUAAGAGCUUGCUCUUACGGGUGGCGAGUGGCGGACGGGUGAGGAAUACAUCGGAAUCUACUUUUUCGUGGGGGAUAACGUAGGGAAACUUACGCUAAUACCGCAUACGACCUACGGGUGAAAGCAGGGGAUCUUCGGACCUUGCGCGAUUGAAUGAGCCGAUGUCGGAUUAGCUAGUUGUCGGGGUAAAGGCCCACCAAGGCGACGAUCCGUAGCUGGUCUGAGAGGAUGAUCAGCCACACUGGAACUGCGACACGGUCCAGACUCCUACGGGAGGCAGCAGUGGGGAAUAUUGGACAAUGGGCGCAAGCCUGAUCCAGCCAUACCGCGUGGGUGAAGAAGGCCUUCGGGUUGUAAAGCCCUUUUGUUGGGAAAGAAAAGCAGCAGGUUAAUACCCCGCUGUUCUGACGGUACCCAAAGAAUAAGCACCGGCUAACUUCGUG
rnacentral:rRNA from 1 species